ensembl:snRNA U6 U6 spliceosomal RNA
AGGGGAACACUAUUCAGCCCAUAUAUACUGAAAUGGGAAUGAUUCAGAGACGUUUAGCCACUGCACAAGGAUGAUAUGCAAAUUCGUGAAGCGUUCCAUAUUUUU